rnacentral:rRNA from 1 species
UACGGAGGGUGCAAGCGUUAUCCGGAUUCACUGGGUUUAAAGGGUGCGUAGGCGGACAGGUAAGUCAGUGGUGAAAUCUCCGGGCUUAACCCGGAAACUGCCGUUGAUACUAUUUGUCUUGAAUACUGUGGAGGUAAGCGGAAUAUGUCAUGUAGCGGUGAAAUGCUUAGAUAUGACAUAGAACACCAAUUGCGAAGGCAGCUUACUACACAGCGAUUGACGCUGAGGCACGAAAGCGUGGGGAUCAAAC